rnacentral:tRNA from 1 species
GGGGGUAUAGCUCAGUUGCAGAGCAUGUGCUUGGUUUGCAUGAGGUCCUGGGUUCAAUCCGCAGUGCCUCCG